AACGUAGGAGACAAACGUUACCCGGAGUUACUGGGCGUAAAGGGCGUGUAGGUGGUUUCGUAAGUCUGGCGUGAAAUUUCUCGGCUUAACCGAGGCAGGUCGUCGGAUACUGCGGAACUUGAGGACGGUAGAGGCGUGUGGAAUUCCGGGUGUAGUGGUGAAAUGCGUAGAGAUCCGGAGGAACACCAGUGGCGAAGGCGACACGCUGGGCCGUACCUGACACUGAUGCGCGACAGCAUGGGGAGCAAACAGG
rnacentral:rRNA from 1 species